rnacentral:lncRNA from 1 species
AAGCACAUCUAUUCUAAACAAAAAGAGGGUUUUGAGGAGAAAAUAAGACCCUUAUUAAGAAUUAUACAAGAUUCGAAGGGCAUGGUCUGUAUUGUAGCUGGACAAAUUUGUUUUCUAAUAUGUUUUCAUCUUGACAACAAUACAUGUCAUUUUGUAGUUGCAUCAUUUCUUUGGAUAAUAUUAAGUAAUGUACUUAGUUUCUCCAUAAUAUAAAUAUAGUCUUUCUUAACGACGAUGAAUCUUUUCUUAAUUAGUAAUAAGUUUAAAAUAUAAUACAUCAAUUUGUAUAUCUUCUACUUCAAAUAUUUAGAUUGAAAAGUCGUUGGUAUCAUCAUUGAAUUAUAAUGACGUUAAGGUUCUCUUAUAGGAUUCUCAUAUCAAAACUCAAAAAGCCAAUUAUCACAUUUCAUAGCAAAGUCAAUUGCUUGACUCAAUGUUUGAA